UUACACCACACGAGAGCUGACCCUA
rnacentral:piRNA from 1 species